CGGCAACGGAUAUCUCGGCUCUCGCAUCGAUGAAGAACGUAGCGAAAUGCGAUACUUGGUGUGAAUUGCAGAAUCCCGUGAACCAACGAGUCUUUGAACGCAAGUUGCGCCCGAAGCCAUCAGGCCGAGGGCACGCCUGCCUGGGCGUCACACGUCGUUGCCCCC
rnacentral:rRNA from 1 species